UACGUAGGGGGCAAGCGUUGUCCGGAUUACUGGGCGUAAAGCGAGUGUAGGUGGCUUUGUAAGUCAGGAGUGAAAGCCCUGGGCCUAACCCCAGGAAGUGCUUUUGAUACUGCAAAGCUUGAAUGUGGGAGAGGAUCGUGGAAUUCCAGGUGUAGUGGUGAAAUACGUAGAUAUCUGGAGGAACACCGGUGGCGAAGGCGGCGACCUGGUCCUAUACUGACACUCAUACACGAAAGCGUGGGGAUCAAACAGG
rnacentral:rRNA from 1 species